AUUGAACGCUGGCGGCAGGCCUAACACAUGCAAGUCGAACGGUAGCACAGAGGAGCUUGCUCCUCGGGUGACGAGUGGCGGACGGGUGAGUAAUGUCUGGGGAUCUGCCCGAUAGAGGGGGAUAACCACUGGAAACGGUGGCUAAUAUCGCAUAACGUCGCAAGACCAAAGAGGGGGACCUUCGGGCCUCUCACUAUCGGAUGAACCCAGAUGGGAUUAGCUAGUAGGCGGGGUAACGGCCCACCUAGGCGACGAUCCCUAGCUGGUCUGAGAGGAUGACCAGCCACACUGGAACUGAGACACGGUCCAGACUCCUACGGGAGGCAGCAGUGGGGAAUAUUGCACAAUGGGCGCAAGCCUGAUGCAGCCAUGCCGCGUGUAUGAAGAAGGCCUUCGGGUUGUAAAGUACUUUCAGCGGGGAGGAAGGCGAUGUGGUUAAUAACCGCGUCGAUUGACGUUACCCGCAGAAGAAGCACCAGCUAACUCCGUGCCAGCCGCCGCUGUAA
rnacentral:rRNA from 1 species